UCAUUUCUCCAUUCCACCUUCCAUAAUCACCUCUCUUCCACUGAAACUCAACUGGUGGGGGUGGGGAGUGCAAUUAGACACUCUUGGGUUCUACAGGGUUUGCCUUGCUCUUCUGUCCCCAGUUCCAGUUUGGACAUGUAGCCCAGUGACUCCUGCAUUACAACGACAGGCAGAAAGUUACCCAGAAAGCUUGUUGCUGUGAGCUUCAGAGCACACGCUUUUGUUACAGACACUCGGUGGAAAGAUGAUGUCCAGUGUUGUUACCCACGAGAUACCAAAGUGAGCAAAUUAUAUGGAAAUUGAAGAAUAGAAGUAUUCAAAGGUUUGGGUGAUUGGAUACUUAGUUUUCAUUCAAACCUUGUAGAACUGCCCGGUGUCUCUAAAUUCUGUGCAUGUGACAUAUUACCAGAAUUCAAAUUAAUUCUUGAAGUGAAUUGGAAGAGAAGAGGAUUUAGAAGAAGGUUCUGACCGGUCAAAGCCAGACGCUGCCAUGUGGAAACAUGGGCCUUGGAUAGACAAAGACAAGCCAAAAAUUCUGAUUUACACAUGAAACAUCAUGAUUUUUAAAUGGUGGCCAAUAAUUCAACAGAGACUUUAAAAGAACGUGAAGGCCACAAACAAACAUCCCAGGUCUGCGGGCCAUAUGCCCCUCAGGGUGCCAGGGUAACGCCUCUAAUAGUCAUGCUGAGACAACAUCCACAUUAGUUUCCUGGGGCUGCUGCAACAAAUUACCACAAACUUGGUGGCCGAAAAUAACACAGAUCGAAUCACUUGUUCUGCUGGCCCAAAGUCCAAAACUAGUUUUGUCAGAGGCAUUGAACCAGAACGACUCCAUCUUGAAGAGGGGCUGGGUGAAAUGAGGCUGAGAUCCGCUUGAGGCUGAGAUCUGUUCUGCCGCACUCCCAGGAAGUUAGGGAUUCUUAGCCACAGGAUGUUUAUGGUUAAGGGAACAAGUUAAUAAUGUUUACGCAGCCGACCCAGGACUUCACAGACCCAGGAACUGCCCCAAUGGCCCGAUAUCUUAAGUACAAAAGCAUUCUUAGUUUAAGAAUAAGUUUACUUUAGGGGUUGGGGUGGGGGGGAUAGCAUUUGGAGAUAUACCUAAUGUUAAAUGAUGAGUUACUGGGUGCAGCACACCAACAUGGCACAUGUAUACAUAUGUAACUAACCUGCACGUUGUGCACAUGUACCCUAAAACUUAAAGUAUAAUAAAAAAAAGAAUAAGUUUACUUUAAAGAUAUUAAUAUAGAUUCUUGCAGACGA
rnacentral:lncRNA from 10 species